UUGCGACCAUAACCCGUUGAAACAAACGUUCCCGUAGGAUUACCGAUGUUAAGCAACGUCGAGCCUAGUCAGUACUUAGAAGUGUGACAACUUGGAAAUACCAAGUAUUGUAAG